UUCUUCAGUCCAUCUAUCCGCGAGUACCAGAUUUCUAAAGGAGAUUCAUGCCCCAUAAAGAAUCGGCCUGAGCCAAAACCGAUCCUCCAUGAACCAAAGGUGUUUCCUCAGUCAUUCUCCUGUCUAAACCAAAAGCACUUUAAGGAUCAUGAGUUGAUUGCCUCUACUCUUCAUGAAAAUAUUUUGAAACCGAGAAUUUCAAAAAGAAAACAUAUUCUUACUUGGUUGAAAAACGUUUUGCUCAAACCUUUUCAUGAAUUGAUUUCAUUGAGCUGUGCUUUGAAAGAGAUUUGGUGUAGGAAAAAGCAUGAACUAAAAUUUCUUAGGCCAAAGAAUUCUUUUGAUUUCGUUCAUGAUGAUAAUUUUUCAAAUUUGGCAUUGUCUCUUUCUUUUCCUGACCGUUUAUCAGCUUGGCCUAAUUUAAAAAUUGAUAAACCAAUUUUUGGUGAUCAGCUUACUUGUUUGAUGCUUGCCCACGUGCUUGAUGAUUAUCCUAAGGGCUUGGAUCCUGAUCUUGAUGUCCUAAAGAUAGAGAAACCUUUUGAUUAUUUCUUUGGCAGAUUUGAUGUGGUUUCUCUAGUUGCUUUGAAUAAACAUGAUAAGCAUGAUAGUUUCUAAGGAGAGCAAGCACCAAUGGACGCCAAAGUACUUGGAAUUCCUUGAUAAAAAUGACUUCAAAACUCCAAGGAAGUUUCUGUCCACUCUAUUCAUUUACUGAAUUUCCCUUGAAUUUUAAUUCCUUUGUAUCUGAUUUAUCUCUUUUUGAUAUAGGUACAUUGGAUUUGAGGACAAAUCCUUUUGAAGAAGGAGGGAAUGAUAGACUGCGGUCCACGGAUCAGUACAUGGAGCCGAACCAGCAUGGAGAUCAGAACGUUCUGAAGAUUUCAACUGAGGUUCAUGUUUUUCACCAUACUGACCAGACUGACCGGACACUGUAUUGGACUGUCCCACAUGCAUCCGGAUCGGAGCUUUGGCUGGAACCAUGGCCAGAUGAUCGAUUUCACUGUACUGGAUUUUGUCUUCACCUUCCUGUUUUCCAUUUGAUGAAGAAGAGUCGAGACGGAAUCGCAUUCGGACACACGAAUCCUGAGUUAGGUCAUUGCUAUACAUUUCUGGACAGUACCACUGGUGCAUCCUUUGAUCAAUCAGAUCAGACAGCUUGAUCCAUCACCUAUGGAUCAGGUUAUCCAUCCUUGCCAAAGAUCAGAUUACACACGGCCUUCUUUAGAUAAACAAACCGGCCCCAUACUUGUGGUCCAUGCCACUUAGUACUGGCCUUACUCGCCUCCACGGCUUGCUGCUGGUUCCAAAUGAAUUGAACCUUGCACCCCACAUGGUUCCUCAUGUACUAGGAUCCCCAUGUGUCUCCUCCAUGAUUCGGAUCAUUGAUUCACACCAUGAUCAGAACUAACACACACACCAUGAUCCAACAUGGAUCACUAUCCAAUGUGUGGCCUCUAACUUCCAUCCCACAUGGAUGAGUUAGAUCAACUAAGAUCCGCCCCUUAUCUCAGGGUCCUGGAUCCUUAGUUUACAUCACAACAUAUGGUCUUCAAGGGGCGUUCCAUACUUGGCCUUAACCGCACCACAAAAGAAAGAAACAUAACCUUGAAAGUAAUUAUAAAAUCAGUUACCUUAUACAUGAUCUGAUUAGAUCAAGUGCCUUUCCUUAUUAUGUUCGGCCAUGCUCCUCCAGUGCACGCCUCUAUCAAUCCUUAUCACAUACCUCCUGUAUUUAUAAGAUCCAUUCAUGGGUCGCACCCCUGAUCCCUU
rnacentral:lncRNA from 1 species